UUGUUAUUUGUUUUCAUAAGUUUUUAUACAACCAUGUUAUUGCAGUUUUUAUAAAUGACUUGCUUGCACGCAUCAGAGUUUCAUUUAUCUAUUGUGACUGACGUCAUGAGCAAUAAAAAAAAUAUUUUUGGCACGUCAUUGUUAUAUUAUACCUGUGUUCAUAAUGUUUGCGAGUACAUUCAAAGUACUCACUGGCUUGUCCCUGGCUAUUGUCUUGGCCAGAUUUUCUUGCACGGAGAGGAGCGACGCGAUGACAGCCCGGAACCUAAGCAAUGGAGAUAGCAGCCUCGCGAAGAUAGGAGUUAACCUGGUCAGCUGUUCCUGUGGGGAUUGGAGUCCCAUAGACACUGAUGAUCCACAAACCGCUUCCGCCAUCAACCACUAGAAACCAUUUGUUGUACUCAUAGGCCAGAACAGCCUUGUACUACAUAUUUGUUUUUCUGAUUGGAAUUUCUGUAUCAAGUUGGAGCCUCAUCAGCUAACAGUAAUCCUGGGGCUGAUGAGCGCGACGGUCUCUUCUGGAAAUUUAUUACCCGAAAAACCGGUCGCGACAGACUUGGUACCAGAGCCAGGCUGACCAUUGGCUAAUCCUAUCUUAGCCCGGUCAAUAAACUUAGGCAAACCAACCCACCAGACCUUAACCAAACCCCAGCCAAGCUUCUCGUGCAAGAUAACCACACAGUGACCCAAAACCUUUUGGCAGUCGGUGCCCAACCUAUCAACCUAACCUGUCACUCAUGCGCCAGUGACUGGCCCCUAAAUAGUCCUUUCUUGCAAGCGUGCGAAGGAAGACUCCGUCCCCUUUUUCUUAUAAAAAGGGACGCGCUCGCCCCAAACCAGCACAGCACAGCCGCUACCCCCAAACCGAGCCACAAUGCCUGGACCUAUAGUGCACAACGAAACCACAGCAACCAACCUUGGAGGUUUUGUGACCAUCCUCGCAAACCUCACCCGUCGUGCCUACGCGUUAGAGGAGCCACCAGAAUAUGUUGUGUAUCAAGGACCCAUGAGCGGUGAAGACCGCCAAUUCUGGGCCACUGUGCACAUUUACGGUAGGAGUCUAGCACCCGAGCGUCCCUACCGGUUCACCGGAAGAACAACUUCCUUUGAGCCACAAGCCAUCCAGCUAGCCGCUCGAGAGGCUAUAGUUCAUCUCAGGCACUUGUCGCCCAGAGUUAACUGUCGCUCGUUCCACUACUAUCCCAGACGUGAAGGGUAUGGUAGACCACCCCAAGUUUCCAAUGGAGAUCACGAGACGGACCCGCAUUGUUGCACCUAGUGCGCUAUGUAAGUGCACUAGAGGCGCUGUUCGACUAGAUCACUAUUGAUCUAAUCGCAGCUCGUGGAGAGCUGGUUCAUCGAGCCCCGGCAAGAGAAGAAAACGAGCCCAACACCGACAACCCAGUCGUGCUGUUUGGACAACCAUUUGAGACCCCGAGAUCUGCCCCAACCAUCGGCCAAGGUGCUGCGAUAACCCCAGAGGUGCUUCGUCGCAUUUUGGGAGCACACUCCAACGGGGUUGUGGCCAACAAUCCCCGCAAUGGUCAUUCUCACUACCCCGACCCUGCAGUUCAUCCGCCAUCUCCGACUAAUCCCGGCAGGGAGACACAUGGAGAAGCCUCGGCAUCCACCAGGCACGCCCGUUUAGACAUAAGCGAAGUAGACUAAGCAGUAUGAGUAGCACCAAGUUUCAGUGUAUCAUCACUUUGUAAUCAUGCGACCACGUAUAUUAACGCAGCCUGUCUUUGUGCCUCUGUGUUGAUAAUAGCCUUGCCUGUUUAGUCAGCGCAUAGCUGCAUAUUCUUCCCGGCACAACUACCAAAACCAGCCCGACGACAACCACAGUAACACGUCUCUUUAUGAGAUAUGUGUAUCUCUAACACUGAACCGACCUUUGGAGCUAAGCUGGCAGAUUUAUUACCUUUCACCACGGUAAAAUGAUCCAGCUCCAUUGCUAUAUAAAGGCCACCUUGUGACCUUACCCAGCAACCCCCACCUUGUGCACAACACUCACGCUUUUUCCUGUCAUGCCGAACCCCAGCAUUCAUCUAAGAACCCCAGAUGCAACCCCAGGUAGCUUUGUCAAAAUAUUGUGGGAUUUUACCCGCAGUACCAUGGGUUCUACCCAGCCACCCCAGUACGAGCUGUUCAAAUCGAGGAUCACCCCAUCCACCUUGGAAUAUUGGGCAGCAGUACCCAUUCCCCCUGUAGACCCCAACCAAGAUCCAAUAGAAGUUUCCUUCGUGGGGAAAUCUAUGCCAACCCCACCCUUGGCCAUAGAAGCUGCUGCGAAAGAAGCGAUUGCUCGUCUUUGAUCCGCAGUACCCUAUGCCCGCGAAUGAGGAUAUUAUUACUUUCCGAGCCGUGCAGCACCCGGAGAAGUAACAUCUUUUCCCGGUGGGCGUAUUGAGAGAGACCCAGUUCUGGCCAACCUUAUCCAGUACAUCAUUGCUCAAGAGCAUUUGAACCAGCGAGUGAUGGAUUAUCUCCAGAGCCUCGCAGAUUUAAAUCCUCAGGUUGCCAUUGGCAGACCACUGAGACCCGACACGGAGAGACGCAUACAUCGACUGGUCAAUCCACUUCCUCCGAUUGAAGAAGAAUGUAUUCCUUUACCAGAGACAUUUUAUCAGGACCCCAUCCAGUUACCAUUUUCAUUUUAGACGUCACUACUGUAUUUGUUCUUUGCAGCAUUUAAUUAUGUGUGUGACUUAUGCGUAAUACCCUGAGUUUGUACGACAAAUCAAUUAUUUGGCUUCUAAUUAUGUGUGUAGUUUUUGUUGUGGUUUAUGCUCUCUUAAAUUAACUGCUCUUCCCUCGCGAAAUCCUGGAGUGAGAUUUCUUUUCCCUAAUUUGCUACACCUGCCACUUCACGACAUGGAUUAAUUAUUUUCACUCAGCACCACGAGCAGUCUCACAACCAUAAUCAUUCGGACACAUACACUGGUUGCAAAACUUUGCAACGGUGUUACAUCUAGUUAAUCACCCCCUAACAAUAGUAAGCACCCGGCAUGCUUCAUCUACUCCUCAUGAUCACCACCACCGCGGAGAGCCAACACCCGAGCCGCAGCAUCGCAAUACUCGUCGAAAAUCAUCGCGCACAGGAGCACAGAGAGCCCCAGCAGCGUCGCCAACCCUCCGCAUAUCAGGAUCACAAACCAGUCCGGCAUCGCCUCCGCCAUUAGAGCCUCGACCGAGCUUCUGUAAGCAGUAAUGGAGAAAGGAGGAGGAGAAGUGAGGCCAGAUGUGAGGAAGAAGAGAGAGGCACCCCGGCCGUUUUUAUAGCUCGAGCUCGGUGUACGGUGGGCGAAGUCCACCAACGCCGAUCGUCGCCGAUCGCCAGUGUUCGGAGUCAAAUCCGCGAGCAGUUCCGACAGCGCGCUGGCCCGCGAGGUGAGUGCACGCUGCACCGGCAGCUAGCACGCCGCGCACUACCACGGUACGGCCUAGAUGCCCUACGCAUUAGGCAUCGCCGGUGGAGAAAGCACGAGAAAGCGCGCGGGAGAGAGGAGGAAGAGAGAGCCAGAGGUAGAAGGAAGAGCCAGUGGGAGAAGAAGAGGCUGACAGUGGGCCUCGGGUCCACCUGUCGGCCAGAGAGAGCACUGUGCUCUCGGGUACGACCAGCGUAUAUUUAAAUUUAGAAGAUUAUUCUAAAUUUUUAUCCAGCGUAGAAAUCACCCGGUUUUGUCCCGAACCGUAGACUUUUCCGCGCAGCCCCGGUUUUCACACUGUGGUUUUUCACCACUUAUUGCCCUCUCACUGUAGCCACUUUUUAUUGCAUAUAGUUUUCUUAAAACAGUUUUUAACAAAUCUCGAGGACGAGAUUUUUCUUAAGGGGGGUAGUAUCUGUGACACCCCAAAAAUUUGGCCUGGUUUUAUUUAAAAUUUUGCCAGGAAUUAAAACUUUGGAUUUCUGAGCUCCAUUUUGAUUUUUUUAAAAUCAUUUCCUUCCCUGUUAUGAUGAGUUUUUCCCAGAGAGAAAACUUUUCAAUUAUGUUGUUGGACUUGUUUAACCUCUCAAGAAAAACUUUGCUGUUAUCAGUGUAAUUAAUUAAAUAAUUAAGUUGCUUGAUUUUUAUUUUCUGGGAAAUGGUUGUCAAGGUUAAUUGACCAUAUUUGAACUACAACCAUUUGAUGGACUCACUUAAAAUUUCCACAAAAAUUUGGAGAUGUCAUGUGAUGAUUUUAAAUAACUUUUAUGCAAAAAUAUAUUUCAUUCAUAAAAUAUUUUGAACCCUGCACUCAUUUUUUCUUCUCUGGUCCAGAGUGCAUUUUGCACUACAACCUAUUUAAAUAUUUCUUUAAAACUUCUACCAAAAUUAAGGGAGGUCAGUAGGAGCAUAUUAUUUCACUUUGUGCAAAAACCUAUUUAUGUUCUUUUAAAAAUUUGAGUGGAUCAACCUCAUUUCCAUUCUGGUCCAAUUUGAGGAUUUGUACAGCAACUGCCAUUUUAGUUGCUCCUAUACCCUUGAUUAUUUCUCCUACUUGUAGUCCCCCAUGUUAAACCCUUAAGUCCAAGAGCAUGCACCUUUUGGAUCAUUUUUGGUUCAUGAAAUAAUGCUAUUUAUUUCCUGUCCAGAAUUGAAGUUUUGUAAAACUUGCACUAGCAAGUUUCCCCUUUUGUCCAACUAACCUCACCACUCUCUUUUGCAUCUAAAGAGACCCCCAUCUGGAGUUUUUGGCCACCCCAAGACCUGCCUAAGUGCAUGUGGCAUUUUGCCAAACACCUGGAGAGCAUGACCAGUUCUGGCAUGAUUGUGGCAUUGCACUGUGAACUUGCACCUUUGAUCAAACCAGCAUGUCCACUAGGCUCCCCAUUCCUCCUAACCUAGGUCUGUUAAUUGCCAGCCUCGACCGCGACCUCUAGCAUGCUCCGACAUAGUGUCGAACACGUCCCGUGCACGCCCGGAGCGCGAGCAGAGCGCGCGUAUUGCAGCCACGCACCCGAGCCGACACGCCGGCCCCACGGCUUUGGCUCGCUCUGCAGCAACGCGCCAAGCAGCCCCCGCUGCGCCCGGCAGGCCAAGAGCUAGCCGCCGCCGCCGCCCGACAGCCCUGCGCCGUGCAGUGCUGCCCAAGCCACCCCGGCUCGCCACCUGGCCCCUGGAGCAGUGCCCUCUCGUCCACUAGCUCUUGCCGUCAUCCCCAGCCGCGCCACGUUGCCCUGCAAGCCACAGUAGGGCGGUUCGCCGGCAAGCUUAUCCCCGGCCGCCGCAAACCGACAUGGCCGCGCUAUAAAAAAGGGACCCCGAGCCCCUCUGAGCACGCACGCACCCUCAGGCUACCCCCAUGGCACCCCCAUAGCCCGCAAUCGUCCGGGAGACGUCGUCUUCCUCAUCUCCGGCAACCACGGCCGCCACCACUGCCCCGGCCAAUUCGGCACCACCAGGGCCUCCCACUCUUCGUUCUCUCCACCAAGAACCCCCUCAUCCUCCCGUAAACCUUCCCCCUACUCCAUUUCGAUCGAGAACCACCGCCGCCCCGAAACCACUUUGCACCGAAACCUCCCUCCGCCGCGAAGCUCACCGCCGACGACUUCUUCCACCACUGUCGACCCCUCGACCACCGGGAGAAACGCCCCAGCCGUCCGGAUCCAUCCCCGCCCUCCAGAGGCCGCGAGGAGCCGCCGCUCGCCGGCGUUGGUCGCCGGAGUCCCGCCUCCGCUCGGGACAGAGGAAGAAGGAGGAGGGCGGACUGGUCAAACCUGACCAGUGGGCCCCUUGGACCCACUGUCAGUGACCCUGCGCCUAUCCACGUCGGUUAAGUGAAGGCGUAUUUUCCCCAGUACGCUUUCCCCGCUCCGAAAACGUAUUCCCUUCCGAACCGUUUUCUUUUCUGUUUUAAUUGUAAAUAACAGAUUUGACCAAAUCUUUGACUGGCUAUAACUUUUUAAAUAUAACUCCAAAUGAGUUGAUUCUUUUUCCUACCUUCCUCAAAUUUGGUCUAGUUUAUUUUAAGAUUUAUUUGAAAUUUUUUUCAAACAACUUUUUGGUUCUGUUUUCGAAAUAUGUGUUAAUUCAAAUAUAUUUUUAAAAUAGGAUUUUGGGAGAGAGAAGAAACUUUCAAAAGUUUGGAGAGCACCCUGCCCUUCCACACAUUGAAGGCAAGCAUGCUGAACCCCGGCAUAAUAUUUAGGAGUGAUCAUUGAUGCAUUUAUAACUCCACCGCAUUUCGAAGGACUUGUUAUUUCAUGUGAUAUGAUCAUAUGCAUGGGUGCAUGUUACUGAUUUCCAUGCUGUUGGUAAUGGACACACUUGUGAUGAUAAUCACCCUCAUGAGCUUGACAUGCAUACCGGCAGGAACCCGGGAAAACCUCUGCCUUGGGUAGGUAUGAGUGUCGCCGGUCUCCGUCGGGACGGUCCUGUCUGGUAUGGCAUGGUAAGGUGAUAUGAGUGGUGACUCUGUUUGAUGAUAUAUAUUUGUUAUACUAAUCAUGCAGGGAAUACUUGAACCUCCUGAGUCGACCAUAGAUCGAGUCUUGUUCCAGUAACCCCCAUACUUGUUUCGUACUACCACUCGUCUCUACAGCAAGUAGAGUACGGUUCAGUAAGUUGUCAACCUCUUUCUAGCACACACCGUACAGAGAGGCCAUGGUGGAAGAUACCGGUUGUAACUGGUAGGCAGGCCACCUGGUCUGGGAGCAUGGGUGUUUCCGGUUGGGACCGAGAGGGGAGGCCACCCCUUAGAGCGCGCGAUAUAAAUUUGAUCCCAUGCUACGCGAGGUUGUAGCCUCCCCACUUAGAGUUUGCUUAACAGGUGUCGUGGGUGAUUCCAGGCACGUGUGUGAUAAGCUGGUGUGUGCAAGUUAGGUGUGUUUUCAACAAAAAGACCGUAGACGGAAUUAGUCCCGAUGGACUAAAGAAAUCCGUUACUCGUGGGUAAAGAGUACACCCUCUGCAGAGAAUAAACCUAUUCGAAUAGCCGUGUCCUUGGUUAAGGAUUACAGUCUGGGAUGGGUCAGGUGUCGGUCUUAGUGUCGGUCUUCGGAGGUGAAACGGUUAACCAGAAAUGGAAUUACUACUCGUGACUUGUGAUAUCUAUGAUUAUUAUUAUUAUUGACUAACCCGUGAUAUUAUUACCGAGUAUCUCUGGGAUGGUUCUACCUCCGGGAUAUUCAUUAUGAUUAUUUCUUUUAAAGCCCUUUAUGUGGCGUCGCUCAGACGCCCGACUGUGGCAUUUCUUUUAAAGCCCUUUAUGUGGCGUCGCUCAGACGCCCGACUGUGGCAUUUCUUUUAAAGCCCUUUAUGUGGCGUCGCUCAGACGCUCGACUGUGGCAUUUCUUUUAAAGCCCUUUAUGUGGCGUCGCUCAGACGCCCGACUGUGGCAUUGCUUGUUAUUUGUUUUCAUAAGUUUUUAUACUACCAUGUUAUUGCAGUUUUUAUAAAUGACUUGCUUGCACGCAUCAGAGUUUCAUUUAUCUAUUGUGACUGACGUCAUGAGCAAUAAAAAAAUAUUUUUGGCACGUCAUUGUUAUAUUAUACCUGUGUUCAUAAUGUUUGCGAGUACAUUCAAAGUACUCACUGGCUUGUCCCUGGCUAUUGUCUUGGCCAGAUUUUCUUGCACGGAGAGGAGCGACGCGAUGACAGCCCGGAACCUAAGCAAUGGAGAUAGCAGCCUCGCGAAGAUAGGAGUUAACCUGGUCAGCUGUUCCUGUGGGGAUUGGAGUCCCAUAGACACUGAUGAUCCACAAACCGCUUCCGCCA
rnacentral:lncRNA from 1 species